rnacentral:rRNA from 1 species
AUGUCUUCAGAGGAGCUCACAACAAGCUUGUCAAAUUUGGCGGUGGCUUCGCAGGCCCCGAUGGCCAGCCAAAUCGGUUCUUCAGGUGAUCUGUCUUCUGAAGGUGGGGCGCAGGUCACUUGUUUCAGUGAGGACCUGCACGACGUCACGCUCCAUUUCCAGAUCAUAAGGUUCUCUAAACAGAUCUAUGCAUGGAUAGGAUGCAACAACUCAGCAAGGUUUGGCCAUUUAUAUGCUGCUGCAACCACUAGGCUGGGUGAUGGAGUGAGUGUCACAUCUGUACUUGGAGGAACAUCUGAUAACACUGGAUCAAGCAUGGCCCGCCGCUUAGUGCUGAAGACAGGUCUAAAUGUAAUUUUAGCAUGUAACAUUCCGAAAGACAGCCCCAUGCUUGAGGCUGCUGCAGAGAGGAAACUUGUAGAGAAGCUGAGAAGUUUAGGCUAUAUCAAAUCUAAAACAGGAGAGGCUAGCGCUUCCAUAACUCCUUGA